rnacentral:rRNA from 1 species
UAGGGAAUCUUCCGCAAUGGGCGAAAGCCUGACGGAGCAACGCCGCGUGAGUGAUGAAGGUCUUCGGAUCGUAAAACUCUGUUAUUAGGGAAGAACAAAUGUGUAAGUAACUAUGCACGUCUUGACGGUACCUAAUCAGAAAGCCACGGCUAACUACGUUCCAGCAGCCGCGGUAAUACGUAGGUGGCAAGCGUUAUCCGGAAUUAUUGGGCGUAAAGCGCGCGUAGGCGGUUUUUUAAGUCUGAUGUGAAAGCCCACGGCUAAACCGUGGAGGGUCAUUGGAAACUGGAAAACUUGAGUGCAGAAGAGGAAAGUGGAAUUCCAUGUGUAGCGGUGAAAUGCGCAGAGAUAUGGAGGAACACCAGUGGCGAAGGCGACUUUCUGGUCUGUAACUGACGCUGAUGUGCGAAAGCGUGGGGAUCAAACAGG